UGGAGAGUACAUGAGGGUUGCCAGAGUUGACAGAGAAUGUCAACAAUAGCUGCUGAGUUCCAGCUAUUUGGAAUUUAUCACUCCUUUUGCAUAUUUAAAACUUGAAGGCAAGAUUUGGGCCAAAGAAUGGGACUGAUCUGUAUUUUCUAUCACACCCACAGUGUGCCAGGGGGGUCUCUUUUGGGUCUGAAUGAACUUUAUAAGAAAAAUGGCAACAUAUUGUAUUAUGAACUGAAGUUUUGGUGAUAUGUCUCAGAAGGGUUGUUUGGUCUCCAGUUUGGUGGCCAAUUGAAAAAUUACCUAGUGAAACAUAUUGGUAGAUAGAUACAGAGAAAGACAGAAAGAGGCCAAUAUAAACAAAUACAAAGAGAGUGGAGUUUGGUUCAUAUUGCCUUAGAAAGUAUGUCACUUACUGCUGGAAAACUGGAAGGACAAUAGGAUAAAAAUUUGGAAACACUGGUCUAAAGCUUCUCAGCAUGUAUUAGGAAUGAAGACUUCGUAGGAGUGCCUGUGGUCUUUCUACACAUAUAGGUAAGUGUUUGGAGUUACUUGAUGUCUUCUAUGUCCUGGGAUUAGUUUUGUUACUGCAGAUAUGUACAGAGGUCAUCCUGAAGGCAAGGAAGGGAGACAGGGUAACACCAGUUUGCAUUUGGCCCUUUAUAAUUGAGGUAUGUGCUUUGAUCUGUCUUCUCAAGGUCACAUUCUGUGGUGCCCAUAGACACAGUGAAGAGAUACAUGGUCAACAUCUUUGGAUGAGGGAUGAGAAUAUUAGAAUAAGACUCCAGAAAAGUUGCUUGGUAUGUCUGUCUUACCUGAGGACCAAUGGAGUUUAAAGGGUUGCAUUCCCUUUCCAGUAUGGUACAUGGAAAACAUGCAGAGGAAAUGGCCCCACAGCAUUGGCUGAGUGUUUAUGUCGUCCAACCGAGUCUCCAUCGAACAGUUGUGGUAUGGUGACUUGGCCUAGGUCACCUGAGUUAAAAGGUAAGGAACAUGGGAAUUGCUGCAUGAAUUCUAGGUGCCCAGGUCUUGGUGGAGCAGGGAACGGCUGCCAUUGAUAUGUCCAGGCCUUUUGGGACAUGGAGCAUGCCUAGGGCCUCUGCUUUCUCCCAGGUUUGGAGCUUCGGCCCAUUGUUCCCUGGCAGUGGAUUGGCAGUGUCCAGAAGUCCA
rnacentral:lncRNA from 1 species